CCCGUCUCCCUCGUGGGCUCGCAGGUGCCUUCUUCCCACAGAGCGCAGUCCGCGUGCCCAGAAGGAACCUGGAAGCCGUCAGCUCCUUCAAAGGCGCUGGAGCCUCCGCCGCCGGACGAGGGAGGCGCCGCCUCGCAGAUGGAGAUGAACCCUCCUCCCCUCCCCCGCUCCCGCCCCCCGACAGACCGGAAUCCAGGCCCAACACUGGCGCUGGCUCUGUGGAGGCCGGGCUGCCCCACCCCAUCCCACACUGAGGCCUGAGCCCGGGGCCUUUGCAGUAGGCGACAUCCUCAGCCCUUUUAAUUUUUAAAAUUUUGAGACAGGUUCUGGCUACAUCUCUAAACUGUCCAGUCUGGGCUUGAACUUGGGAUUCUCCUGCCUCAGCCUCCCAGAGUGCAAGGAUCACAGGCGGCGCCUUCACGCCUGACCAAGUCGUGGGUCCUAUCUGCUUUGUUCCAUUUGGAAAGUCGUCUCCCUCGUCAGACCUGGUGAAGUUUCUUUAUCUUCCCCACAUGCUGGGGCCCCUGGCCUCCUCCAUCAGGUUGGGGAACCCUUUUGUCUUCGUCAUCAGACCAGAGGGGAAGACGCCUCUCCCCUCUCGCAAAGCUUUCUGGGUGAAUAUUAGUUCUCAUUUCCUGUUCUCAUCGGCCGGUGGAGUCCACCAGCUCUGCCUCCACGGACCCCAGACUGAAAUGUUCAAGAAGAAAAUGCUUCUGGUCCAGAAGGCGCGUGGACCUUUUGCUCCUUCGCCGCUGUUCCCCACCGUACAGGACGCCGAGGGUUCACAGUGUUUGUUCCGCAAACACUAAGGCACCACACUGGGCAGGAAGACGCAUGGGUACAUGCAGAGGCUGUGGCUUUAUGUAGGGGACUCCAAAUCCAAGGGCCCUGGUAUCUGUGGGUGCCUCCCAAAGUGGAUCCCCCAGACUCCAAGGGACACCUAGACAGGCUGGGACCCCAAGGCCCUGAAAGACCUGCUCCGCUCCCCCAUCUCCCCUCCCUCAUUCAGCUCAGGACCAGUACAACCUACCCCCGAGCCCUUGCACCUGCUGUUCCCACUGCCUAGAACUCUCCCCAGAUCACUGUCUGGUUGGCCUUGAACACAGGAUCCUCCUGCCUCAGCUUCCAUUGCUUGGGAUUAUAGGUGUGCACUACCAACAC
rnacentral:lncRNA from 1 species